UUGAACGCUGGCGGCAGGCCUAACCCAUGCCCGUCGAACGGUAACAGGGAUCAGCUUGCUGAUUCGCUGACGAGUGGCGGACGGGUGAGUAAUGUCUGGGAAACUGCCUGAUGGAGGGGGAUAACUACUGGAAACGGUAGCUAAUACCGCAUAACGUCGCAAGACCAAAGAGGGGGACCUUCGGGCCUCUUGCCAUCGGAUGUGCCCAGAUGGGAUUAGCUAGUAGGUGGGGUAACGGCUCACCUAGGCGACGAUCCCUAGCUGGUCUGAGAGGAUGACCAGCCACACUGGAACUGAGACACGGUCCAGACUCCUACGGGAGGCAGCAGUGGGGAAUAUUGCACAAUGGGCGCAAGCCUGAUGCAGCCAUGCCGCGUGUAUGAAGAAGGCCUUCGGGUUGUAAAGUACUUUCAGCGGGGAGGAAGGGAGUAAAGUUAAUACCUUUGCUCAUUGACGUUACCCGCAGAAGAAGCACCGGCUAACUCCGUG
rnacentral:rRNA from 1 species